UUCUCUCAUUUUAUAGUAUUGUACAUAGUUUUAUUUUCUUUAGAAGUUAAGUAUUCAAGAGUUGUGCAAAGUUUCAAGGAAGCCAUCCAAGCAAUUCAUCACUAGUUCUUAUUUCUAAACUCUUAAUCUUGUUUAUUUCUUUCAUUAUCUUUAUUGAUUAUGGAAUAUUUAUCAAGUAUUGUUGAGUUUUAUUUAAGUACUAUGUGUAACUAAACUCUUAUACUAG
rnacentral:lncRNA from 1 species